rnacentral:lncRNA from 1 species
AUGUGUUUCUUUCUCCUCCUCCAUGUGCUAAUGUUACCCUGUGGAGACCUAGGAGUUCCUCUCCUGCCUGCUGAAGCAUGUGCCAUGCAAAUGGGUGAUUCAAAACUUUUCAGAAACUAUGUUCUCAGUCAUUCGUUCCCCGUCUGCAGACAAAAACUCCAACCAUGCUGCAGGGCUGCUGGCCUGGGGUCCCCGGGGUGGCCAGUUCUGAGGCCAUGUACUGUUCAGCUGCUUGACCCCCAUAGCUGUGAGUAGAAGCUUCACUUUGAAAACCAGCUAAAAGUUGAUCUGUAGUGACUGUGGAUGCGCUAUGAUCCUGCUCCAGUGCUUUGUGCUACACUCAUGCCUUUGCAGUCGGGAGGCAGCUCAGCCCCAUCCCCUAGUGAGUGGCCCUCCCCUUCAGUGCAUGCAUUGCAGUCAUCCCAAACAGCCCUGUCAUUCAUAGCUCCCUUCCUCACUAUGCUGCCUCACCACUUAAAUUGAGACUGAAUUCACUUCCCCUUGCUUUGGCUUUUCUUGAUCCUCGUCUCCAGCAACAGUGUCCAGUAAACCUGUCCCAUGGAAAGCCCUCGUUGUUUUGGCUAUGGAGCUGCAAAUGCCUGCAGGUCUUUGCUUUCCGAGGUCUUGCAUGAAUAUGUUGCUUUUCGUAGCUGUCAUGGGUACCUCCUGCUCAUGCCUAACCCGGCUGUUAAAGGGUAUCUCUGAUGGUUUUGUUUAAUGACUGUGACUGGCUGCUUUAUGACUUUCCAGGACACGGAGGUGCUCCUCAUUCCUCUCUUAUUUACUGUAUACAUGGUGCCCCUGAAAUGCCCUGCCUUCCAAAAAAGGCAGGAUCAGAUAAAUCAAAAUGUAGGGCUGAUUCUUGUCUUGUAUCGAGGUGCUGGAGAUUCAUUGGGAGUGAAAAGUCUGCAGGCAGCUGGGACGGAAAGACAGCAGGUGUGAUGCUGCAGUAAAACCUGCCCUGUGUUCCCACCAUCUCCUCCUCUUCCCAAUCACGACUGUAUCUCCCUUCUGCCCAAAUCCUCUGGCCUCCUUAUGGGCUCCUGUGCUGAAUUUUGGGUCUUACUGCCCUGGGGUACAUGGUGUGAUUAGCAGCUCUUUCCAAUAACAAAAAUAACCCUACAACUCAAUAAAAACACUAAAAAAUUAAACCAAAUGCCUCACGUUGUCAACAUGAUAGAACAUACUUAGGCUGCUCUAUCCCAUCAUCUAGAUGCAGCAACUGAACUCUUGUUUUGUUGUUGUCUUUUUUUCAAUUCCAGCAUUGUAAUGUAGGACCUUGGUGUAAACACUAUCUACUGGUGAUUAGAGGUCAUCCUGCAGUUCUCCCUUCACCAGGUAAAGGGGCUGGAGGGGAUGUGGGGACAGAUUAAAGUCUUGGUGAGGGAUGGGGCUGCAGCAAGGAGCAGUUCUCGGUGAUGAGCAGAUGGCUUGCAUUGCUGCAGGACAGUCUGGCUGGAGGGAUUUAACACCUCAACUAUUUCUCUUGCAUGGCUGCAGGUGAUGUGCAGAGCUCCAGCACUGGGAGCUGCAGGGCUGCCUUCCUCUGGGCUAUGAGAAGGAAUAAAACCAAGGCUUCAGGGCCAAGCAGUAGAAUAACUUGUUGCAAAGGUGAUUUUGUGUAGGUGCACACACUACCCAGAGAAUGUGAGAACAUUGGAGCCUCUAGUGCCUGGGGGGGGGGAGUUCCAAUUUCAGCUGCACAAACCAGCUGUGUCUGCUGAUGUUAGUGCUUUUUGAGGA